GGGCUGGUAGCUCAGCUCGGUAGAGCACCUGACUUUUAAUCAGGGUGUCCAGGGUUCGAAUCCCUGCCGGCCCACCA
rnacentral:tRNA from 1 species